rnacentral:rRNA from 1 species
UACGUAGGUCCCGAGCGUUGUCCGGAUUUAUUGGGCGUAAAGCGAGCGCAGGUGGUUUAUUAAGUCUGGUGUAAAAGGCAGUGGCUCAACCAUUGUAUGCAUUGGAAACUGGUAGACUUGAGUGCAGGAGAGGAGAGUGGAAUUCCAUGUGUAGCGGUGAAAUGCGUAGAUAUAUGGAGGAACACCGGUGGCGAAAGCGGCUCUCUGGCCUGUAACUCACACUGAGGCUCGAAAGCGUGGGGAGCAAACAGG